AUGGCGCCCUCCAGCCUGCUGUGGGCACUGGUGGCCUUCACCUGCUCUGGAUCCAGUGCGGCCCAGAAUGUGACUCAAGUCCAGCCAGAUAUAUCAGCACGAGAGGAGUCAAGAGUCACUUUCUUUUGUCAGUAUGAAGCACGUUGGACUUACUACUAUCUUUACUGGUACGUACAGUUUCCUGAUGGAAAAAUGACUUUCCUUGUUCGUCAGGAUUCUUCUGACGACAAUGCAGAAAAGGGCUCCAGUAUGUCCCAGAAAGUUAUUCAAGACCAGGAAGAUAUAUCCACAAGGGAGGGGUCAGCAGUGACCCUUAAGUGUCAGUAUGAAACAAGUUCAAACUACUACUAUCUUUACUGGUACUCACAGCUUCCUGAUGGAAAGAUGACACUCCUUAUCUCUCAGCAUUCUAUGAAUAACAAUGAAGUAAAAGGUCGCUAUUCUAUAAACCUGCAGAAAGCAGACAAAUCCAUCUCCCUCAACAUUGUACCUGUACAAUUGGAAGAUUCAGCCAUGUAUUUCUGUGCUCUCUGGGAAAGCACUGUGUUUGAAGUGAUAGUAAAAGCUGAACAAAAACCCCAGUGCUAA